rnacentral:misc_RNA from 1 species
AGAAGAUUAAAUGCUACCUCGAUGUUGAAUUAAGAAAACAUCUAAUAGAAGAAAAUUAGAUUAUAGGUCUGUUCGACCUUUAAAUUCUUACAUGAUUUGAGUUAAGACCGGUGUGAGCCAGGUUGGUUUCUAUCUUCAUAAUAGAGGUUUUUAUAGUACGAAAGGACCUAAAAACUUAAUUUUAUUAAUUAAUUAGCUUAUAAAAAGCAAGUAUUUUGAAAAUACUAGAAAGAUUUAAGAAUUUAUUAAUUUUAUGU